AUUGAACGCUGGCGGCAGGCCUAACACAUGCAAGUCGAGCGGCAGCGGGAAAGUAGCUUGCUACUUUUGCCGGCGAGCGGCGGACGGGUGAGUAAUGCCUGGGAAAUUGCCCAGUCGAGGGGGAUAACAGUUGGAAACGACUGCUAAUACCGCAUACGCCCUACGGGGGAAAGCAGGGGACCUUCGGGCCUUGCGCGAUUGGAUAUGCCCAGGUGGGAUUAGCUAGUUGGUGAGGUAAUGGCUCACCAAGGCGACGAUCCCUAGCUGGUCUGAGAGGAUGAUCAGCCACACUGGAACUGAGACACGGUCCAGACUCCUACGGGAGGCAGCAGUGGGGAAUAUUGCACAAUGGGGGAAACCCUGAUGCAGCCAUGCCGCGUGUGUGAAGAAGGCCUUCGGGUUGUAAAGCACUUUCAGCGAGGAGGAAAGGUUGAUGCCUAAUACGUAUCAACUGUGACGUUACCCGCAGAAGAAGCACCGGCUAACUCCGUGCCAGCAGCCGCAGUAA
rnacentral:rRNA from 1 species